CCAGCCCCGCCCCUCGAGGCUGAGGGAGGGGCCUGCGGUCUGGGGCCGGGUCUGGGCGGUCUGAGGGGAGGUGAGAUGGUUGCUUUAAAAAAAACGUGGAAAGACUUGGAACAAUCCACCUCCGGAGAAAGAACUCUUCAAUAGAAAUAAGAAAAAAAAACCCACACACAUAUUGAAGCCCAGAAGUUACAUGAAUUGUCCAAGACCAUAAAAGCAAAGGAAUUUAGGAGUCCUAGAGCUUCUGCCUGCUUUCUCAAUAUCUGGAGAUGAACAGCUUUUUACCUUAGCCUGGGAAAUACACGUGUAAAUAGAGUUCCUACUGUAUCCUCAGCAACUAGGUAGCAUAGUAGAUACAUUUGGAAUCGGGAAGACCUGAGUUCAAAUCCUACAUCAGAUACCGUGUGACCCUGGCUUUCCACGCCCGUGGGCUUUCACCUCUGCAAAGAAGCCAGAGAAAGUAUCUUCUCAUAGAAGACGAGGACUAGAAAAAGCAGAGCUAAGGAGCGAGCGCUUUCUAGGAUUCUUCCAUUCAAUUUGCAGAUGAAAACGUUAUGAGAAUUCAUUGGCUGCUACUAUCCAACUAUGGAUGACACUCAGGUCUCUCGUUUAUAUCAGACUUUGAAAAGCUCUCCAGAUUUCUGUCAGAAUUCAGUUCCUGGAUAAAAGCCAGUUGGCAAACACCACCCAGUCAAAGUGGAGGAGCUGUUGAUAGCUCUCUAAGACCUUAAAUUGCAGAAGAGUUGUCAGUCUGACCACCAGUUCUCCUUUCAGCCCAGUACUCACAGCCAGGUCCUGUGAAGAAAGGCCCAGUUAUCUCCAUCAACUAUCAACCAGUUGCCGCCCAGAGGAUAGGGAAGCCAGCCUAGUUGAAGCAGCAAGGCCACUGCUUUGACCACCAUCUUUCCUCAGACGCCAUUGGAGCCCAGGAUCCCUAAAUCCAAGAGCCUUUGGAAUAGCAAUGCUUUCUCCUCAGUGUCCAUAGCUAUCAUCCUGGAAAGCAACUCCUAUAGAGAUGUAGCCUGACAAUUGGUCCUGUGGGUGCUACAGCCACAUCUAUUGAAAACCCCAAAAAGAAAGCUCUUGCUACCAAAGUCCUUGGCAUUGUCAAAUGGUUCAAUAUCAGAAACAUACUUUUAUCAGUGGAAAUGGCAUUAAGAAGAGACAUUACCAUCUGUUUUGCUGCAGCAUCCUAAGUACCAUAGAACUACUCCAUUUGCUUCGCAGCUAAAAACCCUCCAUGUGUAUUCUCUCUCCAAUUAGAAAGUGAUCGCCUUGAGAGAAAGAACUAUCUGACUUUUUUCUUUGUAUCCCCAGUGAUUAGCACAAUUAAAUGCUUAAUAAAUGCUUCAUUCAUUCAUUCAUUCAUUCAUUCAUUCAUUCAUUCAUUUGCAUUGAUAGAGAGAAUUUCCUUACUAAGAAUUCUCUUACCUGAAGUUGGGACCAAAAUAACAUGUGGAAGAAGGGUUAUGUUUGUUUUAUUUGACCCCAAAAGUCAGAAAUAGUGGCCAGAGAAGGAAGUUGAAAAAAGGCAAAUUGAAUCAUGAUGUAAGGGAGAGCUUCCUAACAAUCUGAUCCACACAAAAAUGCAAUGGGUUUCCAGCGCACAUUUGGAAGACUGCUCCUAGAAGUCUUCCAACAGAGGCUGGAUGAUGAGCUGCCAUGAUCAUUUUUGUUCAUAUAUGGUUCAUUUUGACCCUGAGGUUCUGUCAUUUCAUGACCAGAAAGCCCAAGUAAGCAGAACUUGGGGUUCCCUAACCAU